CACAGACAGGUGAGGUUAACAGUGGCUGGAGCCUCCAUACCAAACAACUGUCUCUGUUACACACACAGAUAGAUACACAGACAGGUGAGGUUAACAGUGGCUGGAGCCUCCAUACCAAACAACUGUCUCUGUUACACACACAGAUAGAUACACAGACAGACAGGUGAGGUUAACAGUGGCUGGAGCCUCCAUACCAAACAACUGUCUCUGUUACACACACAGAUAGAUACACAGACAGGUGAGGUUAACAGUGGCUGGAGCCUCCAUACCAAACAACUGUCUCUGUUACACACACAGAUAGAUACACAGACAGGUGAGGUUAACAGUGGCUGGAGCCUCCAUACCAAACAACUGUCUCUGUUACACACACAGAUAGAUACACAGACAGGUGAGGUUAACAGUGGCUGGAGCCUCCAUACCAAACAACUGUCUCUGUUACACACACAGAUAGAUACACAGACAGGUGAGGUUAACAGUGGCUGGAGCCUCCAUACCAAACAACUGUCUCUGUUACACACACAGAUAGAUACACAGACAGGUGAGGUUAACAGUGGCUGGAGCCUCCAUACCAAACAACUGUCUCUGUUACACACACAGAUAGAUACACAGACAGGUGAGGUUAACAGUGGCUGGAGCCUCCAUACCAAACAACUGUCUCUGUUACACACACAGAUAGAUACACAGACAGGUGAGGUUAACAGUGGCUGG